GCUGUUUUGGCUCAAUGGAUAGAGCAUCAGCCUUUGAACUGAAGGGUCCCGGGUUCAAUUCCGGUCAAGGGCA
rfam:Myotis brandtii contig204149, whole genome shotgun sequence.